CUUGCAAGUUUUUAAACUGCUGUUCAUGGUUGGAUUAUGAUUGAUCCAAAUAAUGAGUUAAUCAUUUUCAGCAAAGCAGAACAAAAUAAUGUCUCCACAUAUCUACGAUAGAAAAUUAAAACCCAUAACUAAAACAUUGAUCAGAGGGCUCAGUUCAUAUCGAAGAAACACGAACCCAACCGAGUUUGAGCAUAUCAAACUGCAUUACGUGAAUACCUCGUCCCAAACUGCAUUAAAAUUUUCAGAUGUAAGUCUAUGUUAGCCUAAUCAAAACACCUGUUUUGCAAUGUAAAUAAAAUUUAUAUCAGUACAAAGCAUACACAGAAGAACUACCUAAGUGAGCAAACAUUGCAUGCUGGGAAUUUAAAUCAAUAAUAAGAAGCAAAUUAUUCAUAAUUUUCAAGAAUAUUGCGUAACAGUCAAGAAAACGCGACGAAAAAAACCGCAAUCUUUUUACGAUGACCUCAAGCAAUUUCGGAUUACUUUCAAGCUAAAAACAUUAAUGGUAUGAACAACCAUGAUAGAAUACUAAAUUUGCUUUAAAUGCUAAUAAGUCAAAAAAUCAUAUUCAAAAGAAAAAUAAAUUGCUUAAAUCCCAAUUAAGUCAUAAAUUAUAUUCAAAAGAACAACCUCCAGCUGUUGUUCCAGUUAACUGCAAUUAUAUAUGAAAAAAUAUAUGUAUAGCUCAUAAACAACAAAACAAGAAAAUAAGCUUGAAUUUCAGAGCAAAAAAAUGGGUUUUCGAGUUUUGGUUUUCUGAUUUCAGGUUUCGGAUUUUCGAGGUUUUGCUUUUCGGAUUUCGGGUUUUGAUUUCGGUUUAGUUUCGGUGAAUUUCAGAUCCACAAGGCAACUCCUACUAAUCGAAAAAUUUGACUCUCCAACUAAAAUUUGAAGGGCUCUACUCUAAACCACACUAUCCUUAUUGAAAAAGCAAGCCCAAAAAAAAAAAAAAAAAAAAAAUCACGAACAAGAAAAAUCAAAUUCUCCGAUUUUCACAUAUGCAUGAACAAGUCAAAAAUCAUAUUCAACUCAUGAUUUUGGUCAAAUUCUCUACCCUUUCUAAAUCAACAAACAAGAACAUAAUCACGAUUAUCAAAUCAACACGGCAAUUCCCACUUAUCGAAAAAUCUAAUCCUCCAACUAAAAAAAAAAAUCAUUUAUUGGAAAACAAAAAAAAAGAAAAAAAAAAAAAAACAAGCAUCUGAUUUUUCACAUACCCUUGCAUGAAUGAACUCUUCGAUUCUCCCUUCAUCGAACUGCCCCGACAAUUUAGGCCCGAAAGAGACUUAAAAGUCUGGAUUUCGUCUUCCCGAUUAAAGAAAAGAAAAGAUGGACAGAAAAUUAUGAAUAAUUUGCUUCUUAUUUUGGAGGAAAGUAGCUGUUAGGGGGAGGGGGGAGGGGGUAGCUGGGAAUUCUUGAGAUGGUCGACGGAAUUUCUGGAAGCGGAGGAGGAGGCGCGGCGGAGCAGGUGGAGGAAAGAUGCGGUGGGAAGCGACGCUGGCGGAAGAGGCGGUGGGCGGCGACCAGGGCGGCGGACGAGGCGGCGGCGGGAGUGGAAGUGGGCGGGAGUCAACGAUUGCAGGCCUC
rnacentral:lncRNA from 1 species